ensembl:snRNA U2 U2 spliceosomal RNA
AUCAAUUCUCUGCCUUUUGGCUAAGACCAAGUGUAGCACCUGUUCUUAUCAGUUUAACAUCUGAUAUUUCCUCUAUCUGAGGACAACAUAUUACGUUGAUUUUUGGAACAGGGAGAUAGUAUAGGAGCUCUGUCUGCUCCACGAAUCAACCUGGCAUUGUGGUACUUCUAGUACUAGUGCACCCCUU